rnacentral:rRNA from 1 species
UACGUAGGGGGCAAGCGUUGUCCGGAAUCAUUGGGCGUAAAGCGCGUGUAGGCGGCCAGAAAAGUCCGCUGUGAAAACUCGAGGCUCAACUUCGAGCUGUCGGUGGAAACUGUCUGGCUAGAGUCCGGAAGAGGAGAAUGGAAUUCCUGGUGUAGCGGUGAAAUGCGCAGAUAUCAGGAAGAACACCCGUGGCGAAGGCGGUUCUCUGGGACGGUACUGACGCUGGAGACGCGAAAGCGUGGGGAGCGAACAGG